rnacentral:rRNA from 1 species
AACGAACGCUGGCGGCAGGCUUAACACAUGCAAGUCGAACGCACCGCAAGGUGAGUGGCAGACGGGUGAGUAACGCGUGGGAAUCUACCCAGUUCUACGGAACAACACAGGGAAACUUGUGCUAAUACCGUAUACGCCCCAAGGGGGAAAGAUUUAUCGGAAUUGGAUGAGCCCGCGUUGGAUUAGCUAGUUGGUGGGGUAAUGGCCUACCAAGGCGACGAUCCAUCGCUGGUCUGAGAGGAUGAUCAGCCACACUGGGACUGAGACACGGCCCAGACUCCUACGGGAGGCAGCAGUGGGGAAUAUUGGGCAAUGGGCGCAAGCCUGAUCCAGCCAUGCCGCGUGAGUGAUGAAGGCCUUAGGGUUGGAAAGCUCUUUCAGUAGGGACGAUAAUGACGGUAUCUACAGAAGAAGCCCCGGCUAACUUCGUGCCAGCAGCCGCCGUAAGAC